rnacentral:rRNA from 1 species
GUGGGGAAUUUUUCGCAAUGGGCGCAAGCCUGACGAAGCAACGCCGCGUGGAGGAUGAAGGCCCUCGCGGUCGUAAACUCCUGUCUAGCGGGACGAAAGUAUUUUGAGUGAAUAAUUCAAGAUAUUGACUGUACCGCUGGAGGAAGCUCCGGCUAACUCCGUGCCAGCAGCCGCGGUAAUACGGAGGGAGCAAGCGUUACUCGGAAUUAUUGGGCGUAAAGGGCGCGUAGGCUAUUUGACAAGUCUCGUGUGAAAGCCCAGAGCUUAACUCUGGAAGUGCAUGAGAAACUGUUAGAUUUGAGUUCCGGAGAGGAAGGCAGAAUUCCCGGUGUAGCGGUGAAAUGCGUAGAUAUCGGGAGGAAUACCAGUGGCGAAGGCGGCCUUCUGGACGGAUACUGACGCUGAGGCGCGAAAGCCAGGGGAGCAAACGGGAUUAGAUACCCCAGUAGUCC